rnacentral:rRNA from 1 species
UACGUAGGGUGCAGGCGUUAAUCGGAAUUACUGGGCGUAAAGCGUGCGUAGACGGUUACAUAAGUCGGGUGUGAAAGCCCCGGGCUCAACCUGGGAAUUGCAUUCGAGACUGCGUAGCUAGGGUGCGGAAGAGGGAAGCGGAAUUUCGGGUGUAGCGGUGAAAUGCGUAGAUAUCCGAAGGAACAUCAGUGGCGAAAGCGGCUUCCUGGUCCAGCACCGACGUUCAGGCACGAAAGCGUGGGGGGCAAACAGG